rnacentral:rRNA from 1 species
CAAUAGCGUAUAUUAAAGUUGUUGCAGUUAAAAAGCUCGUAGUUGGAUUUGUGGCGUACGGUGUGUUCCGGGCACUUGUUGUCUGAGUAACCUGCUGUUGCCAUCCUUGGGUGGAACCUGCGUGGCAUUAGGUUGUCGUGCAGGGGAUGCCCAUCAUUUACUGUGAAAAAAUUAGAGUGUUCAAAGCAGGCUUAUGCCGUUGAAUAUAUUAGCAUGGAAUAAUGAGAUAGGACUUUUUUGCUAUUUUGUUGGUUUGCGCAAGAAGGUAAUGAUUAAUAGGGACAGUUGGGGGUAUUCGUAUUCCAUUGUCAGAGGUGAAAUUCUUGGAUUUUUGGAAGACGAACUACUGCGAAAGCAUUUACCAAGGAUGUUUUCAUUAA